rnacentral:sRNA from 1 species
CAACGAACGAAAGGAGGUGAUCCAGUGUCUCAUUGUCAUCAGCCGCAGUCUUCGGCUUUCCGGACCUGGACCGUCGCCUCCGGCGCCUGCCUCUAAGGGCGUCUGAGACCCGAUCUCGGGACAGUUUCGGCCGAACCUGCGGUUCGGCAAUGGAAGGGCCGCCCUCUCGGGCGGCCCU